rnacentral:rRNA from 1 species
UACGUAGGGGGCAAGCGUUGUCCGGAAUCAUUGGGCGUAAAGAGCGUGUAGGCGGCUCGGUAAGUCCGCUGUGAAAGUCCAGGGCUCAACCCUGGAAUGCCGGUGGAAACUGUCGAGCUAGAGUCCGGAAGAGGCGAGUGGAAUUCCUGGUGUAGCGGUGAAAUUCGUAGAUAUUGGGAAGAACACCAGUGGCGAAGGCGGCUCUCUGGACCGUAACUGACGCUGAGGCGCGAAAGCGUGGGGAUCAAACAGG